CACCUGCUAUCUAUUAGCCCUAUUAAUGAUAGUGAGACAAAGCUGUGGAAUUUAUUCAUGUAGCUGCUGCCUUUGCUGUGGAUUGUGCUUUCCGUAUUUCAGUUUAUAUUUCUGUUUUUAAAAUAUAUAUUUUUAAUGAUGUUUCUAGUUCUCUGUGUUGCUAACAAUCAUAGAGAUGUGUAACUUGUAGAAGAGCUUGGAGGCCUAAGUGACUAGAACAUUCUUGAGUUUCUUCAGGAUAACACAUUCUUGCCUUGUCUUGAAGUCAUUUUCCUCCCCUUCUAUAAAAAAAAGGUGCACUGGAUGUGUGCUUAGCCAACAAACAAUAAACAUACUACUCCAUCAGAUCAGCCACCCAACCACGAGGGAGGAACUCUUCCUCCUUCCUGAGCAUCCGGAUGGUGUUUAUUUACCAAGAGUAGCAAGAGAUACUGGAAAAGACAAUUACUCCACUGGCAGUGGGCACUGAUCCUGCACAAAACCGAUUCAUUCAGUCUGCCUGUUUGCUGAUUGUGGAUUUAAUGAACCUUUAGUAAAAUUGUGAAUGGAUUACUUGUGCCCCACAGUAUUAUGUUGCCUUUUUUCCAAAGUUUGUUAACCAGAUAUGUGAUAUCUUUUAUAGCCGACAAUUAUUUUAAGUUUUAAAACUUUUAAAAAAUAUUUUACCCCGUUAUUUGCACAUUGACUUUUU